rnacentral:rRNA from 1 species
UGGGGAGUAUUGGACAAUGGGCGCAAGCCUGAUCCAGCCAUGCCGCGUGAGUGAUGAAGGCCCUAGGGUUGUAAAGCUCUUUCACCGGUGAAGAUAAUGACGGUAACCGGAGAAGAAGCCCCGGCUAACUUCGUGCCAGCAGCCGCGGUAAUACGAAGGGGGCUAGCGUUGUUCGGAAUUACUGGGCGUAAAGCGCACGUAGGCGGAUCGAUCAGUUAGGGGUGAAAUCCCGGGGCUCAACCCCGGAACUGCCUCUAAUACUGUCGAUCUGGAGUUCGAGAGAGGUGAGUGGAAUUCCGAGUGUAGAGGUGAAAUUCGUAGAUAUUCGGAGGAACACCAGUGGCGAAGGCGGCUCACUGGCUCGAUGCUGACGCUGAGGUGCGAAAGCGUGGGGAGCAAACA